rnacentral:rRNA from 1 species
GACGAACGCUGGCGGCGUGCCUAAUACAUGCAAGUCGAACGCAGUGGGGCCGGGUGAGUAACACGUGGGUAAUCUCCCAUCAGAGGGGAUAACACCUGGAAACAGGUGCUAAACCGAUACUGAUGGAUGGACCCGCGGUGCAUUAGCUAGUUGGUGAGGUAACGGAUCACCACGGCCACGAUGCAUAGCCGACCGGAGAGGGUGGUGGGCCAAACUGGGACUGAGACACGGCCCAGAGUCCUACGAGAGGCAGAAGGAGGGGAUCGUCGGCAAUGGGCGAAAGUCUGACCAGGCUACGCCGCGUGAGUGAAGAAGGUUUGCGGAUCGUAAGACUCUGUUGUUAGAGAAGCGGUAUCUAACCAGAAAGCCACGGCUAACUACGUGCCAGCAGCCGCGGUAAUAC